rnacentral:rRNA from 1 species
UACGUAGGGGGCAAGCGUUAUCCGGAUUUACUGGGUGUAAAGGGAGCGUAGACGGCGAUGCAAGUCUGAAGUGAAAGGCGGGGGCCCAACCCUCGGACUGCUUUGGAAACUGUAUGGCUGGAGUGCAGGAGAGGUAAGUGGAAUUCCUAGUGUAGCGGUGAAAUGCGUAGAUAUUAGGAGGAACACCAGUGGCGAAGGCGGCUUACUGGACUGUAACUGACGUUGAGGCUCGAAAGCGUGGGGAGCAAACAGG